rnacentral:rRNA from 1 species
AUUGAACGCUGGCGGCAGGCCUAACACAUGCAAGUCGAACGGUAGCACAGAGGAGCUUGCUCCUUGGGUGACGAGUGGCGGACGGGUGAGUAAUGUCUGGGAAACUGCCCGAUGGAGGGGGAUAACUACUGGAAACGGUAGCUAAUACCGCAUAACGUCGCAAGACCAAAGAGGGGGACCUUCGGGCCUCUUGCCAUCGGAUGUGCCCAGAUGGGAUUAGCUAGUAGGUGGGGUAACGGCUCACCUAGGCGACGAUCCCUAGCUGGUCUGAGAGGAUGACCAGCCACACUGGAACUGAGACACGGUCCAGACUCCUACGGGAGGCAGCAGUGGGGAAUAUUGCACAAUGGGCGCAAGCCUGAUGCAGCCAUGCCGCGUGUAUGAAGAAGGCCUUCGGGUUGUAAAGUACUUUCAGCGAGGAGGAAGGCGUUGUGGUUAAUAACCGCAACGAUUGACGUUACUCGCAGAAGAAGUACCGGCUAACUCCGUGCCAGCCGCCGCGGUAAAAGGG